rnacentral:tRNA from 1 species
GGAGAGAUGCGAGAGCGGUUGAAUCGGGCGGUCUCGAAAACCGUUGACCUCGUAAGGGGUCCGAGGGUUCGAAUCCCUCUCUCUCCG